AACAGCAUUUUAAAAAAUACAUUGAAAGCAAAUUUAAUAUAUAAAAGGAUCUUUCUGAAAGAAAAUUAGGAUUAUUUCCAUUUGCAAUGAUGCCAGCUUAUGCAGCUUUCUAGUAUGAUAUCUCCACCUUUCAUUUUAUUCCCUAACAUGCUGAAAAUAUCCCCAGACUUUUAGAAUUAGUUACAAAGGCACAUUUGGCAGACUCACCACCUUAGAUAGCAUAAAUUUUAAUCUGAUUCUGUAACCAAGAGAAUCUUUUAAUAAAGAGAUUAAAAUAUUUAAUUUUUAUUCUUUGUGCUCAAGAGGACAAUGUUUGACCCUGAUGACUAACUGAAAGCUAAAUUUUACAGCAUUAUACUGGAUACUAAUUAAAUGAGUUGGGACACUUUUCCAGCAAUGCAAUAGUUAACAAAAAAAUCCUCCGUAUUAAAAAAACCAAAAAAAUGGAAGGACUAAAGGAAAUGGACAAUGAAAAACACCCAAAAGUGCCUACGUAAAAUCAUCAGAAAUUAAGUGGGAGAUCAUAACAGAAUUAGAUUAAAAAUAAAGAGGAUUAUAAUUUAAUUAAAUUGGUUUGUGGCAGAGUUACAGAUCAUUAGAUUUUUUUUUUGUUUCUUUGUUUUUGUAAUAUCCUAUUUUGAGAUAAGAGAGUUUUUCAGCAGGAACCGGAGUUGUUUACAAAGAUGAUGCAAAAUUGUGUCUUUGCAGUCAACAACAGUUACUUGAUUUGCAGCAGCCUUAACUAACAUCCUCAGUCCUGAACUCUAUUCCUCUAAUAAACACACCUUGAUGUAAAUUGACAAUAUCCUCCCAAAUAAAGCCCAAUUUUUGCACCAUGAGACUGUGUAAAUGAAUUAUACUGCUUUAAUGACAUCCAUACUAAGAUCUAAAUCUGAUGCUUACCCAGAGUAAAAAUAUUUUACAGUCUGUGCUAGAAUAUCUAAUAACACUUCCCUGUGUGUGUAUGCAAAUUUCAUUUGUUUUUCUGACAGAGAACAAUAUCUGGCUUGGGAAAAAAAAAAAAACAAAACCAAAACCAAAACCUUGAUAGUUCUUCCAUUGCUCUUUUCUUUCUUUAACCAGCCCUGCAUUUCUUGCAUCAUGCUUAUAAUGAUGUGGUGAAACUCCUUGCUUCUAAGAUUACAUUUGCUCCUACUUAAUUAUUCCAGGAAAAGUAUCCAUGGAUGGAAUAAGCCAUGCUAAAACAGUACUGUCAUACUCCCCUUGAAGCUCUGACUGUACCAGAAAGGAAUAUUCGUUUCCAUCAGACCAACUGAUGGAACAUCCAGCUGAUCUCAUGAGAUAGCUACGCAAUUGCUAGAGCUGACACAGGACUGUGUGUGAACUCAUACUUGAAAGGGAGAGGAGAGUAAAGAGAAGGAUGGGCAUGAGGAAGAAAAGGACUGGGAGAAAGGAGUGAGCAAGAGUGACCAAGGCUUUAAAGUAGCAAUUCACUAAUAUACUGGCUUAUGACAAUCGUGUAAAAGCUGAACAAGUUUCAAGGCUUCUAAGCAUUACAUUUAGGAAAGGGUGUUGGGUUUUCUGCCUUUUGCUCUCUGGAUAGUAGGAAAAGACUUUGGCAACACAGUGUGCUGAUGAAUUCAGUGCUUGAUAAACUUUAUAAAUUUAAUUUUUAAAUUACCUGAUAUUUUUUGUCACUAAACACAAGCUAUUGCACACCAUUAAUCACCAAGUUACAUCAUUUUGUUUUUUCAAGGAAAGGUAGCGAACAAGAUGCCCACAUGCUUACAAAAUUCUUUUACAGUGAACUAAAGCACCCACUUACUUGAAUCACAAGCAGAUCUGUACAUUUUCUAUUCUAGUUCUAUUAUCAGUUUUAAUUGCCACAUCACCAAUAUUGAGUAUUGCGUAACUCUUUUAUUUAAAAUUUUGAAGGCAUGUUGUUUCACAGGGCUAGUAUGAAAAAUAUAUUUUUGAAAUUCUUAAAACAGCACAUUUAAAUCCUUCCAAAUUAAUCUAAAUCACUUUUUUAAAAAAGAAAGAAAAAAUGUCCUUAAAUAAAGAAAACAUGUUCUUUUUUUGUCACACACAUACUUGUACCCUUUAAAAAUAUGAAAAAUAUUCCUUUCAUUUACAUCCUUAUUCAAACUGUAGGCACUAAAAAUUCAAAUGAACCCUAAUUAGAGUUAUUAUCAUAGAGCUUCAGUAGAACAGUUCUCAUCUAUGUUAAAGAAGUUUCUAGUUCAAAGGAAAACUCUUUGCAGUGAAAGUCAUGCAUAAUUUUUUUUCUCUUGUCAGAAAUCAAUCAUGGUUUUGUCAUCAUUAAGGAGAAGAGUUGGCCUUUUUUAAGAUAAAGGAUGAAAGUACCUGGUCAUUAAAUACCCCUACUUAAUUAAAAUACCCCUACUGAUAGGCUCCUAUUUAAAUUUAUAAAAAAAUUCUUCACCAUUCUCCAAUUGAUAUCAAUGGGCAACAGACAAAAAAUAACACAUAUAAAGAAAAUUAAACAGUGCAAAAGUAUAGAUAUAAAUUUCCACACAUAUCAAGAUUUGGUGUGAUAUACAUGACAGAGAAGGCAAGGUGAUAAUGUAAGUGAAAUUCAUCACUGUAUAAAAACCCCACAGAAAUAAACUUCCAACCUAUUGUUGACAAUGGAAAUUCUAUAAUUCAUGUAUUAAGCUCAAGAGGCCAUGCACACAAGUUUGCCUAAAAAUACUGAUUUCCUAAAAUCCAAAUACUUAGUGUGUCACUAUGUGCUUUUGGAGCUCAUAAAAUCGUAAGAUAAUCCAGGCUGAUCAGGUAAACUUUGGGAAGUCUCCAAUCUAACCUCCUGCCCACAAGAAAGAGCCUGGCUCUGUCCUCCUAAUCACCUUUUCUUUUAUAUACAUAGACAAAAAGACAAAAGUGACCGUGAGGGCCUGUGUUGUUCUUGCUCAACUUUACAAGGUCUCUGUGGGCCUGUGUCUCCAGCCUGCCCAGGACAUUCUCUACAGCAGCCCUGCCUCCAGGCUUGUCAGCUGCUGUCCCUUGUUUGUUGUCAUACUUAGACUUGGGAAAUGUACCAGGGUACCUUCUGCUUCCUCCUACAGGUCACUGAUAGAGAUAAGAAACAGGCCAACUCCAAGGAGACACUCCAGAGGUGCUCCAGUUGUUACUGACCUCCAAGCAAAGCACCAGUCACCAACCACAGUCCAAACGUGUUUUCAUUCAUUCUCUAUUACUCCCUGAGAGAACAAAGACUGUUACCUCCCAACACAGACUGCUGUGGGAGACCAUGUCCAAAGCUUUUUUAAAGUCAAGAGGAAAAAACUUUUAAGAUCUAAUUCUUACCCAUAGGCUUUUUUCCUCUCAUCUCACAUCAGAGCAAUGAAACAUUAGACAGAACCUAUUAGCUGUUGCUGUACACAGCUAGAAAAUAAUAGAGAAAGCUCUUUCAACAGAAUAUUUUUUCUGAAAUAUUAGCACAAUACGUUGGUUUUUAACUAGCUAAAGCAGAUACCACCUUCUUUUCUUUCUUUGUUUUUCUUAACUUAGGCAGCUUGCACUGAAGCCACCAUCCACAUAAGCCUUUCCAAACUUUCUGAAAGGAAAAGGCAUUUUUUCAGGUGAUGUUAUUAGUGGCAGUAUGAAAGCCUGAUAAAAUUAAAUGAUUCACUGAAGUGUAUUGAAAAAAACUUAUCUCUCUAGGCUUCAUUUCCUUUAGACAAACAGGAAUCCACUGAGAAAAAUUUGGUUUGGAUAUAGCACCAAAGAAUUUUAUUAAUGUGUUACUUAAUCAUAUUUAUCCCACAAAUUCUAUUUCUUGCCUCUUUCAUUAUCUUAAUUAGUCAAAUGGAAACAAAACAGAACAAAAUGCAGCAUGAGAUAAAGACUUCCAUGAAACCAAAGAAUCUUGAGCUAUAAAGACAAUUUUUGCCCACUGAAAAACAAACUGACUUCCUUUUUUGUCAAUUAGAUGAUCAUGUAAUUCCAGCUGUAAUUUAUGUCCAGGACUCCAGUAAGCAAAUUACCUAUUCCAAUCCGUAAUUCAAGGUCUGAAACAUCUGGCUGUGGGGUACUUGGGGCCAGUGAAUUUAGUCUUAGAUUUGACUUAGAUACAGAAAAUUAGAUUACUAUCCAAAUACUCUUGGUAUCUUGCUCUGGAAAAUAAUUCUGCUUCCCUUAUUCAUAAAUAGUCAAUGAAAGAAAAGAGCACACAGAACAUACUCAGCAAGUAUGUAGAGCUGGUUGGAUAUAAGCAGGCAAUUCCUGUUCAUGUUUUAUGAAGCAGUCAUCGUAUCCUGCUUUUUCAUACGUCAGGCGAAGGCAUCAACAAGAGAUGGAUGGAAAAAUGCACCGCAGGUUCAUACAGAACAUGGGAAUGGACAAAGAUGUGCUCUGUGUACAGAGCAGGAAGACUUCACAGCAAGCUGGGAGGUGUCUGUUCUUUCCACCUGUUUUGUCUACUCUUUGAACAGGACAAAAAGGGAGGCUAAAUUCAGUUGAGAGGAGACAAAAGUCUAGCUAAAGGAAGUGAUGUUUUAUCUUUGACUUCUGAGGAAUGGGGAGUACAUCAUUAUCUGUCUUCUACAAUCUCUAAAACUUUAUAAAAUUUCUGGUUCUCUGUUUCUUGGUGUCUGUUUCUUUGGGUUUUUGGUAUUUUUUUGGAUUGGUUGGUUGGGUUUUUUGAGGUGUUCUUUCUUGAGGGGUGUAUUUUGUUUUGUUUUCUUUAACUAAAUUUGUGAUCUAAUCUUAUCCAAGUCUCUCUCGUUACCUUAGCAAGAUAAACACUUUUCUAAUUUCAAAUACUUUCUUGAACUGCACACAAAAAUUAAUUGUAGUUUCUUUAGAUAGCAGUGAUUAAAUUGUCAGGCAACAGUUUCAGUGCGGCAGUUUUUCUGACAUUCUUCAAAAGGUGGAAUUAAAUCAAGCAUUAUCAGGCUAAGAGAUCUUUUUAUCUUCUCACUCAGUGUUACCUUUCAGUCUGUAGCCUACAAUAUGGAUGCUGAGUAGUCUUCCAUAGCGCUUUUGCACCCAUGAAUCUUGUAGCCUACAAUGCAACUACUGUUUUAGGCAUGAAAGUAUAAAGUUUCUUUGUUUUGAAAAUGAAGCACAAAUUUGUAAAGUUUACAGUUUUCAGUGAUUGUGGUCAAAGACACCAGGCACAGCCUGAUUUCAGAAACAUUUUAUAAAUACGGAGUAAUUCUACAAAUAUAAUUCUAGACUUACCCCAUGGCAAAAAGGAAAACAUAAGCCAUUGACCUGUAUUCCCAUAAUCAAUAUAUCACUGACAACAUUUCCAAUUAAUUAUAUGUAUAUAUAUACCCAAACUGGUUGCAAAGAAUUUUAGGUUCAUGUCUAGUCUGACUAGAUGCACUGAACAAACCAAAUCUUGAGGUCCAAAGGAAGAGCUGUUUAGACAUCGCUAACCCAUUGCUAUAAAAGCUUGAAGUAAAUGAGAAUUUAUAUGUAAGAUCAUUUUACUAAUAAAUAAACAAUCUGCAAGGGUAUGUGGGAGAAUAAUAUCUGCUCUUUUAAGGGUAUCUGGACAAAGGAGCCAUAAACUAGAAUUUACAGAGGCAAACCUGAGUGACAAUUGAUAAGGAAAGUCAUGAUAAGAAUAAACCCAGCCAAUCACCCUAAUUGGUGUGGAGGUGAGGUUUUGUUUUUCUUCCGUAUGAUUGUCUGAGUAAUGACCUUGCAAAAUUGGGAUGAUAAGGGAGAGAGACAAACAGAUAUAAAACCUGAACAAUUACCCUUAAUGGAGACAAUAAGCAGAAAUGUACCUGUUAAUUCACACUAAUUGAUGGGCUACCAAGAAACUGCAGGCCAUCUGAGUCUUUGCAAAUGGUAAGGAGACAAAGAGGAUACUGCAGGUGGGGAGGGCAGAGGAACUAUGCCAACUGAUGAAUCAAUGUGCAAGUGAAGGUAAUCUGGGAGGGGGAGUAGACAGAAAAGGGUAUAAAAGGGGCCAGCUUCAUGUAGAAUGAGACAAGUCAGUACACUUGUCUGCGCCUGAUCACCAGUCUAUCCAAUAAUCUCAUCAAUUCUUUUCUCAGUUCUCUCACUGCAUGAUCUCAGUCUCUAUCCCAUGUGUAUGUGUGCCCUGCAUGCACAGCUGGUGGACCCUGAUCAGACUGAGUGUCAGGUACUGGAGCCAGACUGGGGUACAGGCACCCCUGGCCCGUGGCGUCAGCUACUGCAGCAAGUGGGGUCUUAGCAACAGCUACUGAAAUGAACUGGGAUCUCUAACUUCCAGCUGCAGGGACUGGAAUGGAGUGUGUGUUCCCAAAUCCUGCUUCUGGGAGGACUGGUGUGAGUGAGGGUUUCUGCACGGGCAGCUGGAGCAGGACCAUGGGGCACAGCCUAUGUGCCGGCUGCCAGCCGCUGGGGGCUGAGAAGUGUUUGUCUCUUACUCAAACCAGAACCCAAGUUCCAUCAACAGAGAUAUGCAAGACAUCAUUGACUUGCUGCAGGCACUUUGUUUAUGGAAUUUUCCUAGCACCACACAGCAAAUUCACAGCCACAGAACCCAAGUGCUGCUCAACUGUCAUGGACAAAAGUUUCUUAAAUUCCCAAGCACGGAGGAAGCACCCUUUUCCUGCUUUUCAGCCAGCUUUCAGCUCUGUUUAUCUGGAGAGAGAUGGAGCAUUAAAUAUUUUUUUCUCCCUGAGACUUUGGCUUCUUCUCUUCUGGACUGUUCAACAAUACCAGAACAUACUGGGAGACCCUACACCACUGGCCUGGAGCAGGGCCUAUGCCGACCCAGCUCCGAAGAGGAGAGAGAGAGACUACGUCCAAAGAAAGGCCUCUAAAAUCUUAUCAGGUUUCUCUCCCCAGUGAGAGGUUUUAUUAUUUAGCAUUAUUAUUCUUUUCCCAUUGUGCAUUGUGUCU